rnacentral:rRNA from 1 species
CCUACGGGAGGCUGCAGUGAGGAAUAUUGGUCAAUGGACGCAAGUCUGAACCAGCCAUGCCGCGUGCAGGAAGACGGCUCUAUGAGUUGUAAACUGCUUUUGUACGAGAGUAAACGCAGAUACAUGUAUCUGUCUGCAAGUAUCGUACGAAUACGGAUCGGCUAACUACGUGCCAGCAGCCGCGGUAAUACGGAGGGUUCAAGCGUUAUCCGGAUUUAUUGGGUUUAAAGGGUGCGUAGGCGGUCGGAUAAGUUAGAAGUGAAAGCCCGAGGCUCAACUUCGGAAUUGCCUUUGAUACUGUUCGGCUAGAGAGUAGUUGAGGUAGGCGGAAUGUAUGGUGUAGCGGUGAAAUGCUUAGAGAUCAUACAGAACACCGGGUGCGAAGGCAGCUUACCAAGCUACUACUGACGUUGAGGCACGAAAGCGUGGGGAGCAAACAGGAUUAGAUACCCUUGUAGUC